GCGGUGGUGGCGGAAUUGGUAGACGCACCAGCUUGAGGGGCUGGCGGGGGCAACCUCGUGAUGGUUCAAAUCCAUUCCACCGCA
rnacentral:tRNA from 1 species